UACGUAGGGGGCUAGCGUUGUCCGGAUUUAUUGGGCGUAAAGAGCGUGUAGGCGGCCAGAUAGGUCUGCUGUGAAAACUCGAGGCUCAACCUCGAGAUGUCGGCGGAAACCAUUUGGCUAGAGUCCGGAAGAGGAAAGUGGAAUUCCUGGUGUAGCGGUGAAAUGCGCAGAUAUCAGGAAGAACACCCGUGGCGAAGGCGGCUUUCUGGGCAUUACCUGACGCUGAGGAGCGAAAGUGUGGGGAGCGAACAGG
rnacentral:rRNA from 1 species